rnacentral:rRNA from 1 species
GAUGAACGCUGGCGGCGUGCCUAAUACAUGCAAGUCGAGCGAACAGACGAGGAGCUUGCUCCUCUGACGUUAGCGGCGGACGGGUGAGUAACACGUGGAUAACCUACCUAUAAGACUGGGAUAACUUCGGGAAACCGGAGCUAAUACCGGAUAAUAUAUUGAACCGCAUGGUUCAAUAGUGAAAGACGGUUUUGCUGUCACUUAUAGAUGGAUCCGCGCCGCAUUAGCUAGUUGGUAAGGUAACGGCUUACCAAGGCAACGAUGCGUAGCCGACCUGAGAGGGGGAUAGGCCACACUGGAACUGAGACACGGUCCAGACUCCUACGGGAGGCAGCAGUAGGGAAUCGUACGCAAUGGGCGAAAGCCUGACGGAGCAACGCCGCGUGAGUGAUGAAGGUCUUCGGAUCGGAAAACUCUGUUAUUAGGGAAGAACAAAUGUGUAAGUAACUAUGCACGUCUUGACGGUACCUAAUCAGAAAGCCACGGCUAACUACGUG